GGAGUAAAACAUCAGGAAUGAAGGGUCAGCAUGGAUCAGCAGAGAAACUUGUUUGGACUUGUUUGGACUUUGCAGUAACUCAGUGACUUUUUAGUGCUGGUCACAAGAUGACCAGAGAGUGUGUCUAUGUUAGAUAAGUGGAUGAUGUAACCUUUUUGAGUGUGGAUGAUGUAACCUUCUAAGUUGUGGUCAUAGGAUAAUAAAGUAGUCAGGCAGUAUGCUUAUGUUAGAUAAGUUAGGUAUGAACAACUUGUAAAGUAUAUAAGCGCGGGGGAAACUCCAUGUAAUUGCUCACAACUAACUCUCGUCGCCUGAGAGUAAGAUCGUGCAGUUGUGUGCCAGCCACCUCGUGUAUUGCUUUGUGUGGUGUGCGAAUAAACCAGCAUUUCAAAAGGCAAUCGAGUUCGUGCUUGGUGUUCGCGUACGUCGCGGUCCGGGGUCCAGUGCAGAUAUCCGGAAGGGAACUCCUGGUAACCAGACAAGGCUGAGAAGCUGCUCGUGACAGUUGGCGUAGUCGGCAGGAUACGGAAGAAGAGCUCCGGAGCAGAGACCAUGAAGCGAAAGGCACUAAGAAAAUUAAAUCCAAGAAGGAGAAGGACGGCAAGAUCGAGGAAUUAUUCUGAACAGUUGCACUAUGCAAAUUGUCAUCUUUGCAUCGAAUUUCAUAAUUUCUUGAGGAACUAUGUCUGUGGACCAGAUAAUCAUCAGACGGAUAUUAGGACGCAAAUUGAGGAACGACCUGUUGUUCCGGAAGGAUCGCAUGACUCCAAUUCCGAUGUUCUUGGAAAAAGAUGUUGAUUAUCCAUUUAUGAUAAUUCACAAUAUGGUGAUAGAUUUAUCGUUAGUGAAGGAUUUGAAUUUUGAUGUUUAUUCACGACUGACACAUCCUUUUGUGCCACAUG